GACGAACGCUGGCGGCGUGCUUAACACAUGCAAGUCGAACGGAAAGGCCCUGCUUUUGUGGGGUGCUCGAGUGGCGAACGGGUGAGUAACACGUGAGUAACCUGCCCUUGACUUUGGGAUAACUUCAUGAAACUGGGUCUAAUACCGGAUAGGAGCUCCUGCUUCAUGGUGGGGGUUGGAAAGUUUCGGCGGUUGGGGAUGGACUCGCGGCUUAUCAGCUUGUUGGUGGGGUAGUGGCUUACCAAGGCUUUGACGGGUAGCCGGCCUGAGAGGGUGACCGGCCACAUUGGGACUGAGAUACGGCACAGCCUCCUACGGGAGGCAGCAGUGGGGAAUAUUGCACAAUGGGCGGAAGCCUGAUGCAGCAACGCAGCGUGCGGGAUGACGGCAUUCGGGUUGUAAACCGCUUUCGCCUGUGACGAAGCGUGAGUGACGGUAAUGGGUAAAGAAGCACCGGCUAACUACGUG
rnacentral:rRNA from 1 species